GGGAGCGGACCUGGGCUGGUGUCCAGUGCGGCCUUCAAAGCCGUUGKGGUGUCGCACGGCGGUGCCCGGUGGGUUCGAUUCCCAUGCGCUCCCGCCA
rnacentral:tRNA from 1 species